UGAGUUUGAUGAUAAUGAUUAUUGAUAUGUAAAAUAUACGCAUAUAUUUCUCUUGAAUACGCCCUUAACGUUAUUGACAUUAAAGGAUGUCGUUAAGUCGGGAUUGGCGUUUCAUUGUAAACUUGAUAUGAGGUCAAGGGACAAAGUCACAAGGUUACUGACAUUAAAUGGUGUCUUGCUAUUGCGAAGAUCGAUGCUCAGUGUGUAAAAAGCGGGCUUUAAUGUUGCUGAGUGAAUAUACGGCGUCAUACAGCUGAAAUAUUGUUGAUUAUCCUGAUAAACUUUUUACGCUAAAUCACAUAUUCUUGCUCACAGUAGUUGUGCUACAACGUUGCAUUGCCUCAGGUUUGUUUCUGCUGCAGAUGUUCGGGGACCGACAGGCGUUGUUAGAGAGCAUCCUACAAAUGGUUGAGAUGGUCGAAACAUCCGGAAAUAGUACGGUACCAUUAAGUCCAGAAUUUCUGGAGGCACUGAGGCCAUAGACGCAGGAAACUAACAACGUCGAGUAAAACAAAACAAUGCAUGUCCAAGUGAGUACGUUGAAACAAGGAUAAAACUAUAAACAUUUGAAUUACAGAUUUGUUGCAUAACAUAAGGUUUAUGGCAAGACAAAGCACGCACAGGAUUGUAGCUUGGCAUACAGGAACGAAACAAAGCACGCACAGGAUUGUAGCUUGUCAUACAGGAUAUGAACAAAACAAAGCACGCACAGGAUUGUGCCUUCAUAUACAUUAUAGAAAAAAAACAAAAACAGGCGCAAGUUUGUAGCUUGACAUACAGGACAAGUAAUGCACACACGAGAAAGACACAUGACAUAAUGACAUUAGCUAAAAAUAGACAUAUUGUUUAGUGUGUAGUUUGACAUUUAGAUGAAGAAGAAAAUAUUGAAGAUGUUGUAGCUUGACAUAAAGAUCAGAGCAUACAAUACAUACACUGGAUAGUAGCUUGACAUAACGAACAAAUAAAUACAUGCAACACGUUACCGGUUGUCAUACAGAAUAGUAAACAGAGCACACAGGCUAGUAGUUUCAAGUACAGGAUGAGAACAAAACAAUUCAUAGACAGCUUAGUAGCUUAAAGUUCAGGAUAAGAUCAAAACGAUAUGCAGUCUAUUUUCUUAACAGAAAAACAAGAAUAAAACAAUGCAUACACUGGUAGUAGGUUGGCGUUCAAGGUAAGAAUAAAACAAUUAACGUACAAAACAAUAAAGGAUAGGGCAUGCUUGAGAAUAGUUCGCUGAUAUGACGACGUGCAUGCGUGUGUAUGUGUAUGGGCGGCUGCUUGUACUAGCCC